rnacentral:misc_RNA from 1 species
GUUUUUCCUUCUUUCUUUUACAAAGGUAUUUUUGUCAAUCGAAAUAAUACGAAGAACAAGAUAAAAGGGGAGUCAUAGUAAUAAUGCUAAAAACGAUAACUAGACAAGUUUGACGUCCUAUCAACCUUCCCAGAUCAUCGACCUCCAUAUGUCCAGCACUAAUAGUACAAGUUCGAUUCACUGGCACAUCGAGAUAGUCUCACAAGAAAGAGGUCAGAGAUAAAGUUAAGCAGAAUUUACAGGUGUGUUUGCAUGUUUAGAUAUACUUUCGAUCCUUCAUAAUAGUACAUUCAAACUCAAAAAGUUGUUGCUACCACAUCCCAGCGCCAUAUAGUCCCAUCUUCACAACAGCUAAGUAUGGUGCUUCCAUCAAAAGACAUGGCAGUCUGUCUAAUUGGUUGUUUAGAUUGAACAUGAGACAGCUUUGCAAUCAAAGUUGGCGGGCUUGUUUGUACUUCCCAGACAAAGAUCUUGCCUUCUCUAUUUCCUAUAGCUGCUGUUUUGUAGUGAUAAUCAAAUGAAAGCUUAAUAAACCAUAUAUCACACUCCGGCACAGGAUACUUUUGGAGGACGUCACUGGUGCCCUCUCCAGCAGAUUGUUCUUUCAUCUUUGGUUCCCAUAAUAGAAUUUCAUUGUCAACACUCUUGGACAAGAUAAAAUCACCAAGCCAUCUGUUACAGUCAACGUAGUUGUUAUGGACAGAAGCUAUUAACAAUGGAAACUGUACAUAUUUUGUGGGAAACUUGGAAGGAAGAUCCGUCCAAGUAAACGAUUUCUCCACAUAUGUCCAGAAUUCUUUCAUUGACCAGAUCUUAACAGUGUUAUCCAUUCCACAGCUAGCAAUCCGAUAUAUAUCAGUAGGAUGGAAGUCCACACUAAGUACUUCAUUCCGAUGACCUCCAGCGCCAGCAAAUACCAAAAUGCAUAUUCCAGUAUGAACAUUCCACAAGCGAACAGAUUCAUCUUUGCUGGCAGAUAAUACAAGAGAUGGUUUCAAGGGUUGAGUCCUAAUUUCAUUUACUGAGUCUCCGUGCCCCACAAAGCUCUUGUGUAGCUUCUCUUUCCCAGCAUCAAUAACACGAAUAACUCCAUUUAUUCCACCAGCCACUAAGAAUGGACUUCCAUCAAUAUUGCAGGCCCAACUUACAGUGUAAAAGGAUUCAUCUUUAUCUUCAUCAAUAUAAGACUGCAGCACAGCAAUGACACCACCUUCGAGACACUGAUAUACAGUCACACGAUUUCCGCCCACAGUAGCAAAGACAUUGAAGUAGCGCGAAUCAAUGAAAUUGAAGACGACGCCAUAUAAUGGGCGUUUGCCUUCUUGGAGUCUGUUCGUCACUCUAUACUCCUUUUUCCUUGACGGUGUUAAUGAUCCAACAACUGGCUCACAUCCUAGAGGUACUCUGGCCGCCAUUGC